GACGAACGUUGGCGGCGUGCUUAAUACAUGCAAGUCAACUGAAGCAGUGGUAGCAAUAUCGCUGUGGAGGUGGCGCACGGGUGAGUAACACGUAGGUAAUCUGCCUUCAGGUCUGGCAUAACUCCGGGAAACCGGGGCUAAUAGCAGAUGAUGCAGCGGCUCGACAUCGAGACAGUUGUUAAAGCUAUGGCGCCUGAAGAUGAGCCUGCGUCUGAUUAGCUAGUUGGCGGGGUAACGGCCCACCAAGGCAACGAUCAGUAGCUGGUCUGAGAGGAUGAUCAGCCACACUGGAACUGAGACACGGUCCAGACUCCUACGGGAGGCAGCAGUAAGGAAUAUUGCUCAAUGGGAGAAAUCCUGAAGCAGCAACGCCGCGUGAGGGACGACGGGCUUUUGCUUGUAAACCUCUGUAGUGAGAGAAAAAAAUCCCAAUCUUUGGGACAUGAUGGUAUCUCAAAAGUAAGCCCCGGCUAACUACGUG
rnacentral:rRNA from 1 species